GUCUUUUAGAUAGCUCAGUUGGUAGAGCACGAGACUGAAUCUUAGGGUCAUGGGUUUGAGCCCCACGUUGGGCA